UACGUAGGUCCCGAGCGUUGUCCGGGUUUAUUGGGCGUAAAGCGAGCGCAGGUGGUUUAUUAAGUCUGGUGUAGAAGGCAGUGGCUCAACCAUUGUAUGCAUUGGAAACUGGUAGACUUGAGUGCAGGAGAGGAGAGUGGAAUUCCAUGUGUAGCGGUGAAAUGCGUAGAUAUAUGGAGGAACACCGGUGGCGAAAGCGGCUCUCUGGCCUGUAACUGACACUGAGGCUUGAAAGCGUGGGGAGCAAACAGG
rnacentral:rRNA from 1 species